UGAGGAACAUGACCUUCGGCGGGGGAUAGCUGGCCCAACGGCCGGGUAAUACCGCGUACGACCACUUUGGGACAUCCCUAGGUGGUGAAAGCAGCAAUGCGCCGAUGGAGUGCCUCGCGGCCUAUCAGCUAGUUGGUGAGGUAACGGCUCACCAAGGCGACGACGGGUAGCUGGUCUGAGAGGAUGGCCAGCCACAUUGGGACUGAGACACGGCCCAGACUCCGUAGGAGG
rnacentral:rRNA from 1 species